CCUACGGGAGGCAGCAGUGGGGAAUUUUGGACAAUGGGCGCAAGCCUGAUCCAGCAAUGCCGCGUGCAGGAUGAAGGCCUUCGGGUUGUAAACUGCUUUUGUACGGAGCGAAACGGUCUGCUUUAAUACAGUAGGCUAAUGACGGUACCGUAAGAAUAAGCACCGGCUAACUACGUGCCAGCAGCCGCGGUAAUACGUAGGGUGCGAGCGUUAAUCGGAAUUACUGGGCGUAAAGCGUGCGCAGGCGGUUAUAUAAGACAGAUGUGAAAUCCCCGGGCUCAACCUGGGACCUGCAUUUGUGACUGUAUAGCUAGAGUACGGUAGAGGGGGAUGGAAUUCCGCGUGUAGCAGUGAAAUGCGUAGAUAUGCGGAGGAACACCGAUGGCGAAGGCAAUCCCCUGGACCUGUACUGACGCUCAUGCACGAAAGCGUGGGGAGCAAACAGGAUUAGAUACCCUGGUAGUCCACGCCCUAAACGAUGUCAACUGGUUGUUGGGUCUUCACUGACUCAGUAACGAAGCUAACGCGUGAAGUUGACCGCCUGGGGAGUACGGCCGCAAGGUUGAAACGUCAAAUGAAUUGACGGCUGAGAGNGCGAGGCGACGACGAGGGAGGAGG
rnacentral:rRNA from 1 species